UACGAAGGGGGCUAGCGUUGCUCGGAAUCACUGGGCGUAAAGGGUGCGUAGGCGGGUCUUAAGUCAGGGGUGAAAUCCUGGAGCUCAACUCCCAGAACUGCCUUUGAUACUGAAGAUCUUGAGUUCGGGAGAGGUGAGUGGAACUGCGAGUGUAGAGGUGAAAUUCGUAGAUAUUCGCAAGAACACCAGUGGCGAAGGCGGCUCACUGGCCCGGUACUGACGCUGAGGUGCGAAAGCGUGGGGAGCAAACAGG
rnacentral:rRNA from 1 species